CAGGUACAUGGAAGGAGUUGUCAAGAUAAAGUUCAAUUUCGUCAUAACCUUAUAAGAAAUUGAGUUUCAGUUCGAUUUGUACAGGAACACGAAUUAAAGCCACAAGUUUCCCGGAUAGAAUUUAAUGAAAAACGAUUUAUGCAGGAGGGACGGAACAAUCUUGUUGUCUCAGAGGAGUUCUUGGUGUAUCCAGUGAACGAUUCAUCGAAAUUGGAAUUGAUAAAAGAAAUUACAUGCAACGAAAAACCAGAAAAGAUUUAUUCCAAGUAUAAAGACAAAAUAAAUAGAUGUGAUACAACAUUACACGUUCAAUAUUUGAGAUGGAUAUAAAAUCAAGCUUUGAUAAAUGCAUUAUCAACUUUUAUAUUUAUAUAAAUACAUUUGUUUUUGAAAAGCUUAAUAUCAUUGCGAUAUACAUAAAAAUGUUAGGAAAUUUUUUAAUGACUUUAUAUAAUUUACAU